UACGGAGGGUGCAAGCGUUAUCCGGAUUCACUGGGUUUAAAGGGUGCGUAGGUGGGUCUGUAAGUCAGUGGUGAAAUCUCCGGGCUUAACCCGGAACUGCCGUUGAUACUAUCUGUCUUGAAUAUCGUGGAGGUAAGCGGAAUAUGUCAUGUAGCGGUGAAAUGCUUAGAUAUGACAUAGAACACCCAUUGCGAAGGCAGCUUACUACACGAUCAUUGACGCUGAGGCACGAAAGCGUGGGGAGCAAACAGG
rnacentral:rRNA from 1 species